rnacentral:rRNA from 1 species
CUUUUAUGGAGAGUUUGAUCCUGGCUCAGGACGAACGCUGGCGGCGUGCCUAAUACAUGCAAGUCGAGCGCGGGAAGCAGACAGAAUCCUUCGGGAGGACGUCUGUGGAACGAGCGGCGGACGGGUGAGUAACACGUGGGCAACCUGCCUGUAAGACUGGGAUAACUCCGGGAAACCGGGGCUAAUACCGGAUAAUUCAUCGAAUCGCAUGAUUCGAUGUUGAAAGGUGGCAUAUGC